rnacentral:rRNA from 1 species
CAGUCGCCGCGGUAAUACGAAGGGGGCUAGCGUUGCUCGGAAUGACUGGGCGUAAAGGGCGCGUAGGCGGAUGGCACAGUCAGAUGUGAAAUUCCCGGGCUUAACCUGGGGGCUGCAUUUGAUACGUGUUGUCUAGAGUGAGGAAGAGGGUUGUGGAAUUCCCAGUGUAGAGGUGAAAUUCGUAGAUAUUGGGAAGAACACCGGUGGCGAAGGCGGCAACCUGGUCCUUGACUGACGCUGAGGCGCGAAAGCGUGGGGAGCAAACAGGAUUAGAUACCCGAGUAGUCCCUGUCUCUUAUAA